GCCGAUCUCACCAUAAUGGCUGACCGCCAGACGGUCUCUGUUGACACAAAGGACCUCUGUUUUUGGACGGAAAACAGCUACAACAGCGAAAACCCAUUACCGGGCAGGUCUGGUACCAAGAGCUUAAAUUCAAAUUUAAAGUAGUUGCAUUAUACAGAAAUGCAGAAAUAAAACCAGUCAAGUCCAGAUUGAUACAUUAAGAACAUCAAACUGAAUAACAACAGUACUUUGCAUACUGAGAUUCUGAAACUGGACAGUGGUGGCUUGAGCUAAAUGCUAACAUCAACAUGCAAUGAAAUUGCAUACUUGCUUAUGUUCAGCAAAUAUAACAAUGUUUUACCAUGCUAACCAUUUGAGUUUAGUGUACUAGCAUGCUAACAUGUGCUAAUUAGUACUAGACACAAAGGUAGCAAAAGAAUGUGCAUUUUUGUAGGUCAUAAACCAAUGUAUAGUACAGAAUGUGACCCUGAUUAUGGCACCAAAGUCAGAGGAUCACCAAAGUUGUUCAAAUUACCCCUAGAGGGGAACAUGAAUGUCUUACUAACAUUCAUUGUAAUCCAGCCAAUUCAUCCUUGCAUUUCACUUUAAAAGCGUUACCUCUCACUGGCACUAGAGGAAAAGUCAGGAGAUCACCAAAGUUAGUAGGAUUCAUCCCCUGGGGACCAUAAAUAUUUGCCCCAAAUUUCAUAUCAAUCCAUUGAAUGGUGGGCUGACAGACCAUCAUUGCCAUCCGAAAGGACACACCGCCAUCUUGACUAAAAUAGGGAACAUCUUUUUUCCUGACAAAUUAAGCUCUCUCCCCCUACAGGCAUCCAUGUCUACGGCUGAUCCCAGGACAUCAAAGGGCUAUCUGCAAAGCUCAGGGAGGGUGAUGGAAGAGGCACCGGUUUCAGGGGGCCACGAGGACCGUCCACCGGUUCCCAUGGGAGAGCAGGGUCUCGCAGGUCGAUGUCCUCUGCAGCGGGGUGGCUCUUCUCAUUUCCUAACAGCAACUGUCAUCGUGCUGCAUCACAUCUGGACCUUCGGGAUCGUCUGGUGUUUCGAUUACAGAUGUUUGUGGCUGCCUCAUUCAAAAUGUCCCACUGAUAGGAGACAAUGCGUGCUAAAGGGCUUUUCAUAUAACAGGUACACUGAAGGAGCUCUAAGUAUUGCAACAAGCCGCAGAGUUGACUGCUUUAUGACCGCUCUGGUCUUGACCGCAAUUGCAGCUAGCAAUCCAAAGGGAGACACUGUGGUUGAAUGAAAAAAGCAGACUAACACGUCUGGAAGAAGAUGGAGUGAUACUGAGACGCGUAUUUAUCUAUUUAUGCAUCUGUUCGUGUUUAAGUGUUUCCUGUGUGUUUUCAUGGAGGUCUUGCCGUAUUUGACCUACUCACCUUCGAAAAUCAUACUAAGAUAAUCACCAUAUUCACUGUGUCGUCUCCAAAGCUGCAACAGCUUUUGAGUGGUUCUUACACUUACACGUAAAUUUCUUUUUUCUUGUAGUUGCUCCUUCCAUAUAUGUUGGUCUAC